UUCUCUGCAAUCCGCGCACACAGCUCAUCGGUGGUUGCACGUCUGCUCGGCGUCGCAAUGCGGCCUGCGUCAUUUUCUGGUGCUCGCGCAAUCGGUGUGAAACAUGUCGCAUGUGAAAUGUUUGAUAGAAGUGCCUCACGUCCAAGUCAAGCCGCCGUACGGGUGUAUGGCUGUGCGCCCCGUUCUCGGAAGCGUCGACGGGUUUCCGGCAUGCGGAUUUCAGCGUUUGGACUCGACUUUUGGUGAGGAUGUCGAUCGACCUUGGGCCUGGCGACAGCACACCCGACAUCGCCAAAGUGCAGCCUAUCAGUUGAGUGCCCCCGAAUGGACCAUCAACAUUGGAAAAUGAAGCAGAGCCAGGGGGAAAAGGUUCCGGUAACACUGCAUUCAGUAUGGUGGCCCAGACGUGUAUGCAAGCAACCUCCUUCAUGUGGACCAAGAACUACUCUGCAGUGUCUCACAGACUUCCAUGCGAAGCCCUCAACAUUCUCGUCUCAGUGGAAUGGCUGCUCAUCUAUCUGCGUGUCCAUCACCAAGAUGGCCAGUUGUAAAGCUCCUGUACCCGUUUAAGACAGCUUAAUGAUUUUUUUUAUUUAGUUUUCAUGGUUAGCCGUAGAAUCUUAACAUUUUUGAUGUUUCUAACGUUUUUACCUGGCCCAAAGUGGUGCAAUAACUUUAAACCAGUGUAAUGUAUUUAAGUGAUGCUCACUCUAAUGCCUAUCUGGUUUUGUUUGUGUUUAAGAAAUUUGAAUGUCUGAUGAGGUAACAGCAUUUAAACUUGUCAUCGUGGCUCUUUUCAGUGAGCUGCUAGGAAAUAAGAUGCAAAACUUAUCACACGCCAGUUGUAGCAUUUUUGUUUUCAAGACUAAAGUAUACAUGUUUCAAAAGAUGGAAAGUGGGGAAAAAAGCCUCAAGAACAUAAUCAUCCUAGGAUUGUCAUGUCCUUACAACUCUGCAAUGACUAAUGCCUCAUACAUCUUGGGAGCACAUUGGUCGCAAUGCCUACAGGUAUACUUGAUAAGAGAAUAGCUUGCACUCAGAUUUGCCACGCAGUUGAUGGCUGAUAGCUUUUGUUUGUCGUCUUCAUGUUACUACUAUGUAUUCAAUAUUCAUUUACAUGUGCUGCGGUUUUUUGCAGUCAC